rnacentral:rRNA from 1 species
AGUACUUUGGAUUAAACCCGAAACCGAGUGAUCUAGCCAUGAGCAGGUUGAAGAUAAGGUAACACUUAUUGGAGGACCGAACCAGUUGACGUUGAAAAGUCUUUGGAUGACUUGUGGUUAGGGGUGAAAGGCCAAUCAAACUCGGAUAUAGCUGGUUCUCCGCGAAAACUAUUUAGGUAGUGCGUCAUAUGAAUACCAUCGGGGGUAGAGCACUGGAUGGGCAAGGGGGGAGAGAUCCUUACUAAGUCCAACCAAACUCCAAAUACCGAUGAGUACUGUAUGGCAGACAGACUACGGGUGCUAAGGUCCGUAGUCAAAAGGAAAACAGUCCAGACCAACAGCUAAGGUCCCCAAGUUAUUGUUAAGUGGGAAAGGAUGUCGGACGACCAAAACAGCCAGGAGGUUGGCUUAGAAGCAGCCAUCCUUUAAAGAAAGCGUAACAGCUCACUGGUCUAAAUAAGUUAUCCGGCGCCGAAGAUGUAACGGGGCUAAACAAUACACCGAAGCUUUGGACACAAUUUAUUGUGUGGUAGCGGAGCGUUCCGUACGUUGUUGAAGGGAGACUCGUGAGAGCUCCUGGAGAUAUCGGAAGUGAGAAUGCUGACAUGAGUAGCGACAAACAGAGUGAGAAACUCUGUCGCCGAAAAUCCAAGGGUUCCUGCGCAAGGCUAAUCCGCGCAGGUUGAGUCGGCUCCUAAGGCGAGGACGAAAGUCGUAGUCGAUGGGAACAAGGUUAAUAUUCCUUGACCAGAUGAGAUGUGACGGAUGACGUAAAUUGUCUAUCCUUAUAUGGAUUGGAUAGGCAGUGAAGUUGUUCCAGGAAAUAGCCUCAUCAUAGACCGUACCCGAAACCGACACAGGUGGAUAGGUAGAGCAUACCAAGGCGCUUGAGAGAACUAUGCUGAAGGAACUCGGCAAAUUGCCUCUGUAACUUCGGAAGAAGGAGGACCUAUGUUUGGGCAACCAGAUGUGGGUGGCACAGAAAUGGGGGUAGCAACUGUUUAUUAAAAACACAGGACUCUGCAAAGCCGCAAGGCGAAGUAUAGGGUCUGACGCCUGCCCGGUGCCGGAAGAUUAAAGUGAGUGGUGCAAGCUACGACCUGAAGUCCCGGUGAACGGCGGCCGUAACUAUAACGGUCCUAAGGUAGCGAAAUUCCUUGUCGGGUAAGUUCCGACCUGCACGAAUGGCGUAAUGAUUUCCCCGCUGUCUCCAGCGUAGACUCAGCGAAAUUGAAUUCUCCGUGAAGAUGCGGAGUACCCGCGGUUAGACGGAAAGACCCCGUGCACCUUUACUAUAGCUUUACAUUGGUAUUAGAAAUUACAUGUGUAGGAUAGGUGGUAGACUUUGAAGUGGAGGCGCCAGCUUCCAUGGAGUCGUCCUUGAAAUACCACUCUUGUAAUUUUUGAUAUCUAACUGAGGUCCAUUAUCUGGAUCCAAGACAGUGUAUGGUGGGUAGUUUGACUGGGGCGGUCGCCUCCCAAAAAGUAACGGAGGCGUGCGAAGGUAGGCUCAAGCUGGUCGGAAAUCAGCUGUUGAGUGCAAUGGCAUAAGCCUGCCUGACUGCAAGACUGACAAGUCGAGCAGAGUCGAAAGACGGUCAUAGUGAUCCGGUGGUUCUGA